UUAGUUGAAGCCAAAAUUAGAGGCAUAUCACUGUUAAUGAUAAAAAUGAAAUAUAUUUCCAACUAAA
rnacentral:tRNA from 1 species